AUGGCGUCGUUCAAUGACACGCAGGCUGCUCCAAAACCUCCAAUAUAUAUAGGGGGAGAGGGGGCUGCGCCCCCUUUAGGGUUUCCCACCCCAAGGGGUGCGGCCAAGGGGGGAGGAGUGCCGCCCAAGUCAAGUGGAGGCCUCCCCCUUUAG
rnacentral:rRNA from 1 species